rnacentral:rRNA from 1 species
UACGAAGGGGGCUAGCGUUGCUCGGAAUCACUGGGCGUAAAGGGCGCGUAGGCGGGCCGGCCGGUCGGAGGUGAAAGCCCCCAGCUCAACUGGGGAAGCGCCCCCGACUACCGCCGGCCUGGAGGGGGUAGGGGCGUGCGGAACUUCCGGUGGAGCGGGUGAAAUGCGCAGAUAUCAGGAGGAACACCGGUGGCGAAGGCGGGUCGUCUGGGCCGAUGACUGACGCUGAGGAGCGAAAGCGUGGGGAGCGAACAG